ACCCAGCCGACGAGUCCAAAAUAGGACGAAAUGCGCGUCCUGCAU
rfam:Schistosoma mattheei strain Denwood, Zambia genome assembly, scaffold: SMTD_scaffold0004736